CCUUUGUACACACCGCCCGUCGCUACUACCGAUUGAAUGGCUUAGUGAGGCCCUCGGAUCGAUGCUCGGAGACUGGCAACAGUUUCCGUUCGUUGAGAAGUUGGUCAAACUUGGUCAUUUAGAGG
rnacentral:rRNA from 1 species